GCCCCUAUCGUCUAGCCUGGUCUAGGACACCAGCUUUUCAAGCUGAGAACACCGGUUCAAAUCCGGUUAGGGGCA
rfam:Candidatus Staskawiczbacteria bacterium RIFCSPHIGHO2_01_FTLL_36_16 rifcsphigho2_01_scaffold_11171, whole genome shotgun sequence.